AAAGUCGUAACAAGGUUUCCGUAGGUGAACCUGCGGAAGGAUCAUUACUGAUUUAGCGAACCGAGCGUUAGCAAGGUUUUGCGAUCAAAUUUAUAUUUAAAACCCACUCUUGUGAAUGUAUAAAAUUUUUUAAUAAAUGAUAAAAAAAGAUCACUUUCAACAACGGAUCUCUUGGCUCUC
rnacentral:misc_RNA from 1 species